GGGACAUAACCAAAAGCGGACAGAAAAUUAGCCCCGACCGAGGCUCCGGCACGGUGCACCGCUGAGAAUCCGAGAGUGUUUGCCAACGAGUGCUUCCGGUAUAGACAGCGCACGGAAACUUAUAUGUAGCUGGAUGACCGGCAACAAGGACAAAUUUAACCCGAGGGAAUCUGAAGCAACAAUGUGUAUGGAACCAUGUAAAAAAUGCCGAUUCGUUCAAAUGAAGAUUACGGUAUUGUUGUCUCGAUUUUUUCCGGAAUAUGAAUUUAGGAGGAAGCCUCAACAUACAGAAGGAAGAUUUUAUGCUAAGGACAGUAAUUCAAAUUUAAACUACAUUCAUUAAACAUUACAAACAAUAA